rnacentral:rRNA from 1 species
UACGAGGGGUGCAAGCGUUGCUCGGAAUCACUGGGCGUAAAGCGUACGCAGGCGGCACGUUAAGUCGGGUGUGAAAGCCCGGGGCUCAACCCCGGAACUGCAUUCGAUACUGGCGCGCUUGAAUACGGAAGAGGGGAGCGGAAUUCCUGGUGUAGAGGUGAAAUUCGUAGAUAUCAGGAGGAACAUCAGUGGCGAAAGCGGCUCCCUGGUCCGAUAUUGACGCUCAUGUACGAAAGCGUGGGGAGCAAACAGG